rnacentral:rRNA from 1 species
CCUACGGGUGGCAGCAGUGAGGAAUAUUGGUCAAUGGACGAGAGUCUGAACCAGCCAAGUAGCGUGAAUGAUGACUGCCCUAUGGGUUGUAAACUUCUUUUAUAUGGGAAUAAAAUGUUCCACGUGUGGGAUUUUGUAUGUACCAUAUGCAUAAGGAUCGGCUAACUCCGUGCCAGCAGCCGCGGUAAUACGGAGGAUCCGAGCGUUAUCCGGAUUUAUUGGGUUUAAAGGGAGCGUAGGUGGAUUGUUAAGUCAGUUGUGAAAGUUUGCGGCUCAACCGUAAAAUUGCAGUUGAAACUGGCAGUCUUGAGUACAGUAGAGGUGGGCGGAAUUCGUGGUGUAGCGGUGAAAUGCUUAGAUAUCACGAAGAACUCCGAUUGCGAAGGCAGUUCACUGGACUGAAACUGACACUGAGGCUCGAAAGUGUGGGUAUCAAACAGGAUUAGAUACCCUUGUAGUC